rnacentral:rRNA from 1 species
CGCACAAGCGGUGAGCAUGUGGUUUAAUUCGAAGCAACGCGAAGAACCUUUACCAGGUCUUGACAUCCUUUUGAAUGGUCUAGAGAUAGAUCAGGCCUUCGGGACAGAAGAGACGAGGUGGUGCAUGGUUGUCGUCAGCUCGUGUCGUGAGAUGUUGGGUUAAGUCCCGCAACGAGCGCAACCCUUAUCAUUAGUUGCUAACAUUCAGUUGAGAACUCUAAUGAGACUGCCAGUGAUAAACUGGAGGAAGGUGGGGAUGACGUCAAAUCAUCAUGCCCCUUAUGACCUGGGCUACACACGUGCUACAAUGGCCGGUACAAAGAGUUGCGAAACUGUGAAGUUAAGCUAAUCUCAUAAAGCCGGUCUCAGUUCGGAUUGUAGUCUGCAACUCGACUACAUGAAGUCGGAAUCGCUAGUAAUCGCGAAUCAGAAUGUCGCGGUGAAUACGUUCUCGAGUCUU